rnacentral:misc_RNA from 1 species
GGAAGUAAAAGUCGUACAAGGUUUCCGUAGGUGAACCUGCGGAAGGAUCAUUAUUGUAUAACCGAGGUGCGAGGGCUGUCGCUGACCCGAAAGGUCGUGCACGCCCGAGUGCCCUCACACACAUCCAUCUCACCCCUAUGUGCACCACCGCGUGGGUCCCCCUUUGGCUUGUUCGGAGGGGGGCUUACGUUUUCACACAAACUUUGUAUGCAGUGUAGAAUGUAUUUUUUGUUUUUGCGAUCACGCAAUCAAUACAACUUUCAACAACGGAUCUCUUGGCCCUC